ensembl:snRNA LOC120095438 U1 spliceosomal RNA
AUACUUAUGUGAUGGGAGAUACCGUGGUUGAGAAGGUGGUUGUCCCCGGGGAGGCUCAUCUGUUGCACUUGGAGUUUGUUGACUCCUGAGAUUUCCCCAAAUGCAGGAAACACAACUGCAUACUUUGUGGUGGUAGGGGUUGCAUUUGUGUUCUUCUCUG